rnacentral:rRNA from 1 species
UCCUACGGGAGGCAGCAGUGAGGAAUAUUGGUCAAUGGACGGAAGUCUGAACCAGCCAAGUAGCGUGCAGGAUGACGGCCCUAUGGGUUGUAAACUGCUUUUGUAUGGGGAUAAAGUUAGGGACGUGUCCCUAUUUGCAGGUACCAUACGAAUAAGGACCGGCUAAUUCCGUGCCAGCAGCCGCGGUA